GGAUUAGAUACCCUGGUAGUCCACGCAGUAAACGAUGAGCGCUAGGUGUCAGAGCUUUUAGCUUUGGUGUCGUAGCUAACGCGUUAAGCGCUCCGCCUGAGGAGUACGACCGCAAGGUUGAAACUUAAAGGUAUUGACGGGGACCCGCACAAGCGGUGGAACAUGUGGUUUAAUUCGACGCUACGCGAAAAACCUUACCAGGUCUUGACAUGCUAGUCAUAUGAGUAAGAAACUACUCAGUCAGUUAGGCUGGACUAGCACAGGUGCUGCAUGGCUGUCGUCAGCUCGUGCCG
rnacentral:rRNA from 1 species